rnacentral:ncRNA from 1 species
UAGGAACCGUGAGAUUAAGCCAUCGCGGCAGGUGCUCACGUUAAGCCCACUGACUUUCAUGUCCCUAUCUACUAUCUAGCGAAACCACAGCCAAGGGAACGGGCUUGGAAUAAUUAGCGGGGAAAGAAGACCCUUUUGAGCUUGACUCUAAUCUGGCAGUGUAAGGAGACAUAAGAGGUGUAGAAUAAGUGGGAGAUAUUAGACUUCGGUUUGGUAUCGACAAUGAAAUACCACUACUCUUAUUGUUUCCUUACUUACUUGAUUAAAUGGAACGUGUAUCAUUUCCUAGCCAUUAUACGGAUAUAAUUAUUAUGUCUUAUGGUAUUGGGUUUUGAUGCAAGCUUCUUGAUCAAAGUAUCACGAGUUUGUUAUAUAAUCGCAAACAAAUUCUUUAAUGAGAGAAUGCAUUUAUGU